rnacentral:ncRNA from 1 species
AGCACGGACUUUCCGCGGUUUUUACCGCAAAGUUUGAUCAAUGAUUUAGAAUGGCGGAAAACAAGAACUGAGUUCGCUACGGUCUUCGGGAGAUAGCAUCGAAGGAUAGACGAGAAUGAAUGGACUGGUGUCGUAUCGACGUUUCGGAAGAGCUCGGUCGCUACAUAGCAACCGAGCAGGAUGGACAGCGACCAACCGAGCUAGGCUCAGGCUCGGUUGCUAUGUAGCGACCGAGCUGUGUGCAUGCUUGGUCGCCGCGUAUCGAUCGAGCUUGGCUUGUCUGCGGUCCGAUUGCCAUACUCGAGCUUGUCCGCCGCCGAUUUGGAUACAUGUCCGUUGCCUUCGGACAAUCGUAUUUAUUGGUUCGAUUGAGAUUUGAACAAUAUUUUACCGCAAGGCUCUUCGUAAAAAUAUCUUUAUGAGGAUUACUUUUCGUAAAAAUGUUCAUGCUGAUUUUUACGGACUUUCAGACAUUGAUUUCGUUGUGACCGAUUUUGACCCCAACAGGCGCGACCUAUACCCGGUUGUCGGGGCAAGAGCCAGGCCUCGAUGAGUAGGAGGGCGCGGAGGUCGCUGCAAAACCUAGGGCACAAGCCCGGGCGGAGCGUGCAGAUCUUGGUGGUAGUAGCAAAUAUUCAAAUGAGAACUUUGAAGGCCGAAGUGGGGAAAGGUUCCAUGUCAACGGCACUUGCACAUGGGUUAGUCGAUCUUAAGAGUUAGGGGAAACCCGUCUGAUAGCGCUUAUGCGCGAAAUUCGAAAGGGGAUCCGGUUAAAAUUCUGAAACCGAGACGUGGCGGUUGACGGCAACGUUAGGAAGUCCGGAGACAUCGGCGGAAAUUAAACAGCCUGUCCACCCUGGAAAUGGCUCAGCCGGAGCACGUCGCGUGGUGUCCGGUGCAUUCCCGGCGGCCCUUGAAAAUCCGGAGGACCGAGUGCCGCUCAUGCCCAGUGCUCAUGCCGCUCAUGCCCAGUCGUACUCAUAACCGCAUCAGGUCUCCAAGGUGAACAGCCUCUGGUCGAUGGAACAAUAUAGGCAAGGGAAGUCGGCAAAAUGGAUCCGUAACUUCGGGAAAAGGAUUGGCUCUGAGGGCUGGGCUCGGGGGUCCCAGUUCCGAACAUGUCGACUGUUGGCGGGCUGCUUGAGCUGCUAACGUGGCGAGAGCGGACCGCCUCGUGUCGGCCGGGGGACGGACUGGGAACGGCUCUUUCGGGAGCUUUCCCCGGGUGUC